AGGGGACUGUGGAAGGGAAGGACUUAAGGGAUUGUGGAGAAGGGACAAAAGGACCCUCACCCCUUGGCUUUAUCAUAGCCUGAGUCCUCAUUCUAUCUGUAAAAAGUCUCCUAAUCUCCUGGCUGCCUUGCUUCCCCCACCUGAUUCAGGGCUGAAACAAUGCCAAAGGGGGGUGCGGCUCUGUAUCGGAACCAGUGGUUCCCUGU